GUGUAGCCCCGAUAGAAGUGGAAAUCCUUUUGUACCGGGGUUCGGUACAAAAGAUUGAAACGGAUAGCGGGACCUCAG
rfam:Flavobacterium johnsoniae TW101, complete genome.